AUGCCCAAACCAAACGGGGCAGAGACUCAGGGGGCAUCAUUGUGUGAUACAAAGGGGAUCUCAGACUGUCGCCCCCAUAAAAAUAAGGGAGACACAUACAUUUCUACAGGAAGCCAGAUCACUCAAAAUGACCCGUCCAUUUUAAAGAGUGAAGAUGAAACAGUGGAAUUGAAAUGCUCCUUCAGCACCAGCAGCUCCUCAUAUUGGGUCAAUUGGUAUCGGCAGUAUCCUGGGGAACCUCUCCAGUUUAUACUCUUACAUGUGACGUUUGAAAGCGGUAAUGCAGACAGCUCUUCUACUACAAUCACCAUUUCCAAACUUGCUCUGAGCGACACAGCAAUCUAUCACUGUGCUCUG